GAUGAACGCUGGCGGCGUGCCUAAUACAUGCAAGUCGAGCGAACAGACGAGGAGCUUGCUCCUCUGACGUUAGCGGCGGACGGGUGAGUAACACGUGGAUAACCUACCUAUAAGACUGGGAUAACUUCGGGAAACCGGAGCUAAUACCGGAUAAUAUAUUGAACCGCAUGGUUCAAUAGUGAAAGACGGUUUUGCUGUCACUUAUAGAUGGAUCCGCGCCGCAUUAGCUAGUUGGUAAGGUAACGGCUUACCAAGGCAACGAUGCGUAGCCGACCUGAGAGAGUGAUCGGCCACACCGGAACUGAAACACGGUCCAGACUCCUACGGGAGGCAGCAGUAGGGAAGCUUCCGCAAUGGGCGAAAGCCUGACGGAGCAACGCCGCGUGAGUGAUGAAGGUGUUCGGAUCGUAAAACUCUGUUAUUAGGGAAGAACAAAUGUGUAAGUAACUAUGCACGUCUUGACGGUACCUAAUCAGAAAGCCACGGCUAACUACGUG
rnacentral:rRNA from 1 species